UUGAAAGGGAAACGAUUGAAGUCAGUCGUACCAGCGGGAAAUCAACCUUUCGAGUGGUGUUUUGGAGUUUUGAAGUGUGUCAAAACCUUUGAGAUUUUAAAAUUUUCGCUCUUUUGGUGUACUUUCUCGUGGGUAGGUUAACAUCGAUUUUGAUCAUCAUAAAAAGACUGGAGGAAUGUAGCUUCGAUCUUGUAUUGAAGUGUUAUAGCCUUUGGUAAAUGUGAUGAUUAGGAUCGAGGAUUGCAACGAAUACCCUUCUGGGCUAUCCGCCUGAUCUCUGAUACGUGGCCUUGGCAUCGAAAGCUUGCUUAUGGUAUCAAAUAUUACGGUCAAAAGGUUAGAACGGAUUACAUUCGUUAAGGAUGUUGACGUA
rnacentral:rRNA from 1 species